CAGGAUAAGUUACAGUGCAGCUGUCGUAGUGUUGUGUUGUCGUUCCCUCUG
rnacentral:snoRNA from 10 species